UACCAGCUCUCCGAGUGGUAGGGAUGUUUAUUGGGCUUAAAGCGUCCGUAGCCGGCUUAGCAAGUCUCCUGUUAAAUUCAGCGACCUAAUCGUUGAGCCGCGGGAGAUACUACUAGGCUAGGAGGCGGGAGAGGUCAACGGUACUUCCGGGGUAGGGGUAAAUCCUAUAAUCCCGAGAGGACCACCAGUGGCGAAGGCUGUUGACUAGAACGCGCUCGACGGUGAGGGACGAAAGCUGGGGGAGCGAACCGGAUUAGAUACCCGGGUAGUCCCAGCUGUAAACGAUGCGAGCUAGGUGUUGGGGUGGCUACGUGCCACUUCAGUGCCGCAGGGAAGCCAUUAAGCUCGCCGCCGUGGGGAGUACGGCCGCAAGGCUGAAACUUAAAGGAAGUUGGCGGGGGAGCACCACAAGGCGUGAAGCUUGCGGUUC
rnacentral:rRNA from 1 species